AUUGAACGCUGGCGGCAGGCCUAACACAUGCAAGUCGACCGAGCGGCGGACGGGUGAGUAAUGUAUGGGAAACUGCCCGAUGGAGGGGGAUAACUACUGGAAACGGUAGCUAAUACCGCAUACUCUCGGAUGUGCCCAGAUGGGAUUAGCUAGUAGGUGGGGUAAAGGCUCACCUAGGCGACGAUCCCUAGAUGGUCUGAGAGGAUGACCAGCCACAAUGGAACGGAGACACGGUCCAGACUCCGACGGGAGGCAGCAGUGGGGAAUAUUGCACAAUGGGCGAAAGCCUGAUGCAGCCAUGCCGCGUGUAUGAAGAAGGCCUUCGGGUUGUAAAGUACUUUCAGCGGGGAGGCGUUACCCGCAGAAGAAGCACCGGCUAACUCCGUGCCAGCAGCCGCGGUAAUAC
rnacentral:rRNA from 1 species